ACGAACGCUGGCGGCGUGCCUAAUACAUGCAAGUCGAGCGGAUUGAUCCCUUCGGGGAUGAGUCAGCGGCGGACGGGUGAGUAACACGUAGGCAACCUGCCUGGAGGAUCGGGAUAACUAUCGGAAACGAUAGCUAAGACCGAAUAAUUGGCAGCUUCGCAUGAAGGUGCCAUGAAACACGGAGCAAUCUGUGGCCUGUGGAUGGGCCUGCGGCGCAUUAGCUAGUAGGUGAGGUAACGGCUCACCUAGGCGACGAUGCGUAGCCG
rnacentral:rRNA from 1 species